rnacentral:rRNA from 1 species
CGCCCGUCGCUCCUACCGAUUGGGUGUGCUGGUGAGAUGUCGGGAUUAGUGGCUGUGGGCGGUUCGCCGCCCUCUGCCGCUGAGAACUUCAUCAAACCCUCCCACCUAGAGGAAGGAGAAGUCGUAACAGGGUUCCU